rnacentral:rRNA from 1 species
UACGUAGGGGGGCAAGCGUUGUCCGGAAUUAUUGGGCGUAAAGAGCGUGUAGGCGGUCCGGUAAGUCAGCUGUGAAAGUCAAGGGCUCAACCCUUGAAUGCCGGUUGAUACUGUCGGGCUAGAGUCCGGAAGAGGCGAGUGGAAUUCCCGGUGUAGCGGUGAAAUGCGCAGAUAUCGGGAGGAACACCAAUGGCGAAGGCAGCUCGCUGGGACGGUACUGACGCUGAGACGCGAAAGCGUGGG